GACGUAGGGGGCCAGCGUUGCUCGGAAUUACUGGGCGUAAAGGGUUCGUAGGCGGUUCGGCAAGUCGGAUGUGAAAUCUCCACGCUUAACGUGGAGGGGCCAUUCGAAACUGCUGUGACUCGAGUCCGGUAGGGGAGUGUGGAAUUCCCGGUGUAGCGGUGAAAUGCGCAGAUAUCGGGAGGAACACCGAUGGCGAAGGCAGGUCUCUGGGCAUUAACUGACGCUGAGGAGCGAAAGCAUGGGGAGCGAACAGG
rnacentral:rRNA from 1 species